GAGUGGCGAACGGGUGAGUAACACGUGGGAAACCUACCUCUUAGCAGGGGAUAACAUUUGGAAACAGAUGCUAAUACCGUAUAACAAUGACAACCGCAUGGUUGUUAUUUAAAAGAUGGUUCUGCUAUCACUAAGAGAUGGUCCCGCGGUGCAUUAGCUAGUUGGUAAGGUAAUGGCUUACCAAGGCGAUGAUGCAUAGCCGAGUUGAGAGACUGAUCGGCCACAAUGGGACUGAGACACGGCCCAUACUCCUACGGGAGGCAGCAGUAGGGAAUCUUCCACAAUGGGCGAAAGCCUGAUGGAGCAACGCCGCGUGUGUGAUGAAGGGUUUCGGCUCGUAAAACACUGUUGUAAGAGAAGAAUGACAUUGAGAGUAACUGUUCAAUGUGUGACGGUAUCUUACCAGAAAGGAACGGCUAAAUACGUGCCAGCAGCCGCGGUAAUACGUAUGUUCCAAGCGUUAUCCGGAUUUAUUGGGCGUAAAGCGAGCGCAGACGGUUAUUUAAGUCUGAAGUGAAAGCCCUCAGCUCAACUGAGGAAUUGCUUUGGAAACUGGAUGACUUGAGUGCAGUAGAGGAAAGUGGAACUCCAUGUGUAGCGGUGAAAUGCGUAGAUAUAUGGAAGAACACCAGUGGCGAAGGCGGCUUUCUGGACUGUAACUGACGUUGAGGCUCGAAAGUGUGGGUAGCAAACAGGAUUAGAUACCCUGGUAGUCCACACCGUAAACGAUGAGUGCUAGGUGUUUGAGGGUUUCCGCCCUUAAGUGCCGCAGCUAACGCAUUAAGCACUCCGCCUGGGGAGUACGACCGCAAGGUUGAAACUCAAAGGAAUUGACGGGGACCCGCACAAGCGGUGGAGCAUGUGGUUUAAUUCGAAGCAACGCGAAGAACCUUACCAGGUCUUGACAUCCCUUGACAACUCCAGAGAUGGAGCGUUCCCUUCGGGGACAAGGUGACAGGUGGUGCAUGGUUGUCGUCAGCUCGUGUCGUGAGAUGUUGGGUUAAGUCCCGCAACGAGCGCAACCCUUAUUACUAGUUGCCAGCAUUCAGUUGGGCACUCUAGUGAGACUGCCGGUGACAAACCGGAGGAAGGUGGGGAUGACGUCAAAUCAUCAUGCCCCUUAUGACCUGGGCUACACACGUGCUACAAUGGCGUAUACAACGAGUUGCCAACCCGCGAGGGUGAGCUAAUCUCUUAAAGUACGUCUCAGUUCGGAUUGUAGGCUGCAACUCGCCUACAUGAAGUCGGAAUCGCUAGUAAUCGCGGAUCAGCACGCCGCGGUGAAUACGUUCCCGGGUCUUGUACACACCGCCCGUCACACCAUGAGAGUUUGUAACACCCAAAGCCGGUGGGGUAACCUUCGGGAGCCAGCCGUCUAAGGUGGGAC
rnacentral:rRNA from 1 species